rnacentral:rRNA from 1 species
ACUCCUACGGGAGGCAGCAGUGGGGAAUCUUGCGCAAUGGGCGGAAGCCUGACGCAGCAACGCCGCGUGAGGGAUGACGGCCUUCGGGUUGUAAACCUCUUUCGCGAUCGACGAAGGUCAUGCUUUUGGCAUGGCUGACGGUAGGUCGAGAAGAAGCACCGGCCAACUACGUGCCAGCAGCCGCGGUAAUACGUAGGGUGCGAGCGUUGUCCGGAAUUAUUGGGCGUAAAGAGCUCGUAGGCGGUGUGUCGCGUCGGCCGUGAAAACCUGGGGCUUAACUCUGGGCGUGCGGUCGAUACGGGCAUCACUAGAGUUCGGCAGGGGAGACUGGAAUUCCUGGUGUAGCGGUGAAAUGCGCAGAUAUCAGGAGGAACACCGGUGGCGAAGGCGGGUCUCUGGGCCGAUACUGACGCUGAGGAGCGAAAGCAUGGGGUAGCGAACAGGAUUAGAUACCCU